rnacentral:rRNA from 1 species
GAGUUUGAUCUUGGCUCAGAUUGAACGCUGGCGGCAGGCCUAACACAUGCAAGUCGAGCGGAUGACGGGAGGCUUGCUCCUUGAUUCAGCGGCGGACGGGUGAGUAAUGCCUAGGAAUCUGCCUGGGUAGUGGGGGACAACGUUUCGAAAGGAACGCUAAUACCGCAUACGUCCUACGGGAGAAAGCAGGGGACCUUCGGGGCCUUGCGCUAUCAGAUGAGCCUAGGUCGGAUUAGCUAG